UUAAUUCAGUCUCCAAGUUAUACUGUAUAUAUUUUUUUAAACUUCCAUAUUUAACAUAUGGCAUAUUGUAACCAUGUCUUAUUAGUGUGCAGUUACCAUAUAUCCCCUGUCGUUAAGAGGUCCUCACUCCAAUCCUCGGAUUUUUGCAACAGUUUCAUGUGGGAGAGGUAAAUAUCAAAUCCUUUUACUUUAUUGUUGAUAUGUUACAAAUUUGUGAUUUUCAUUAUAUUCUUUUUUAGUUAUCUUAACCUUUGUGCAAUAUUCAACUCUAUGGCUGUGGCAAGAC
rnacentral:lncRNA from 1 species